GAGAGCUCUCCAGUAGGUACCAAAAAAUUCAAGAGACAUUUUCUCAAAAGUGAGUUUACAAGUUUAUCAACUUUCAAAGCAGAACUACUUUCCCAUUGGUCCUCAAAAAUGUGGUGUAUGAUAUACCAUUAUUCGUUAUUAUUAGUUAUUAUUAGACCUGUUAUUGGACCUGUUAUUAGACCUGUUAUUAGACUUGUUAUUACACCUGUUAUUACACCUGUUAUUAGACCUGUUAUUGGACCUGUUAUUAGACCUGUUAUUAGACCUGUUAUUAGACUUGUUAUUAGACCUGUUAUUAGACCCGUUAUUAGUCCUGUUAUUAGUCCUGUUAUUAGACCUGUUAUUAGUCCUGUUAUUAGACGUGUUAUUGGACCUGUUAUUGGACCUGUUAUUAGACCUGUUAUUGGACCUGUUAUUAGACCUGUUAUUAGACCUACACUGUUAUUGGACCUGUUAUUAGACCUGUUAUUAGACCCGUUAUUAGACCUGUUAUUAGACCCGUUAUUGGACCUGUUAUUAGACCUGUUAUUAGACCUGUUAUUAGACCCGUUAUUAGACCCGUUAUUGGACCCGUUAUUAGACCUGUUAUUAGACCUGUUAUUGGACCUGUUAUUAGACCUGUUAUUAGACCUGUUAUUAGACCUGUUAUUGGACCUGUUAUUGGACCUGUUAUUGGACCUGUUAUUAGACCUGUUAUUGGACCUGUUAUUAGACCCGUUAUUGGACCUGUUAUUAGACCUGUUAUUAGACCUGUUAUUGGACCUGUUAUUAGACCUGUUAUUAGACCUGUUAUUGGACCUGUUAUUAGACCUGUUAUUGGACGUGUUAUUAGACCUGUUAUUGGACCUGUUAUUGGACCUGUUAUUGGACCUGUUACUAGACCUCUUACUGGAUCUGUUAUUAGACCUGUUAUUGGACCUGGAGUCUGGGGAACCAAGGCUUCUGUCUGAAUCAUUACUGCAGUAGUAGAAGCAGCAUGAGGCUGAGAUUCUGGGGAACCAAGGCUUCAGUCUGAGUCAUUACUGCAUGAGGCUGAGA
rnacentral:lncRNA from 8 species